ACUUUAUUUUCCUUUCCUGUUUUUCCUUUCUUUAACUCUGUUGGCCUUCGUGCCAGUUUACCAAUUUGCUAGAAAUUAAUAAACUAUUUUUCUUCACUUUACUUCAUCUUUGUCUCUUUCCCUUGCUUUAAGCUUUUGCCAUAGAAUGAACAAUUAAGUAGGUCGCUUAAAAACAAAGCAAUCAAACCUAUCUUCAUUGCUUUAGGCGCUAACUUCGAGUUGUUAGGUGGGAAUCUUCACUUGCUUGCGGCAUUUUUCAAAACUUUUAACUUACAGGGCUGAAUGAACUCCGUAGUUGCAUGUUUUGUAUCUUUGGUCCACAGAUCUUUAAUCGCUGCGUGCUACUUUUUAAUAAGCAGACAGGCUUGCAUGACUUAUGUGACUGCCGAUCUAGGCUUAGGGCCUCUGCGAAGCUGUUAACUAGAGAGUUAGCGGCCAAACGCCUUACUUACAGAAGCAAGCGAGUCUGCAUGAUUGCUUGGUUGUUAACUUUGAUCUUCUAGUGCGUUGAACUGCUGAGCUUUCUCUCAAGUUGUUGCCACUGACCACAUGCUGCUUAGCUGGUCAUCAUUUCUCCAAUCCUUUUAGUUGCUUGGCCUGCAUCACAACAUACUAAAGAUUGCUGAGACAUGAAAUUUGCUACCCUUCCGAUUCAAAAGUG
rnacentral:lncRNA from 1 species